rnacentral:rRNA from 1 species
AUUGAACGCUGGCGGCAGGCUUAACACAUGCAAGUCGAGCGAGCGGCGGACGGGUGAGUAAUGUCUGGGAAACUGCCUGAUGGAGGGGGAUAACUACUGGAAACGGUAGCUAAUACCGCAUACCAUCAGAUGUGCCCAGAUGGGAUUAGCUAGUAGGUGGGGUAAUGGCUCACCUAGGCGACGCUCCCUAGAUGGUCUGAGAGGAGGACCAGUCACCCGGGAACGGAGACAGGGUCCAGACCCCUACGGGAGGCAGCAGGGGGGAAUAUUGCACAAGGGGCGCAAGCCUGAUGCAGCCAUGCCGCGUGUGUGAAGAAGGCCUGCGGGUUGUAAAGCACGUUCAGCGAGGAGGCGUUACUCGCAGAAGAAGCACCGGCUAACUCCGUGCCAGCAGCCGCGGUAAUUC